AAUGGAGGCAACUCUGAUCCAGCGAUGCCGCGUGAAGGAAGACGGCCUAUGGGUUGUAAACUUCUUUUAUACAGGAAGAACCUUUCCACGUGUGGAAAGCUGACGGUACUGUAAGAAUAAGGAUCGGCUAACUCCGUGCCAGCAGCCGCGGUAAUACGGAGGAUCCAAGCGUUAUCCGGAAUUAUUGGGUUUAAAGGGUCCGCAGGCUGUUUGUUAAGUCAGGGGUGGAAUCCUACCGCUCAACGGUAGAACUGCCUUUGAUACUGGCAAACUUGAGUUAUUGUGAAGUAGUUAGAAUGUGUAGUGUAGCGGUGAAAUGCAUAGAUAUUACACAGAAUACCGAUUGCGAAAGCAGAUUACUAACAAUAUACUGACGCUGAGGGACGAAAGCGUGGGUAGCGAACAGGAUU
rnacentral:rRNA from 1 species